AGAAUCAACGCUGGCGGCGUGCCUAACACAUGCAAGUCGAACGAGAAAGGGGUAGCAAUACCCUGAGUAAAGUGGCGCACGGGUGAGUAACACGUGACUAACCUACCCUUGAGUGGGGGAUAACUGAGGGAAACCUUAGCUAAUACCGCAUAAUACCCACGGGUCAAAGGAGCAAUUCGCUCGAGGAGGGGGUCGCGGCCGAUUAGUUAGUUGGCGGGGUAAUGGCCCACCAAGACGAUGAUCGGUAUCCGGCCUGAGAGGGCGCACGGACACACUGGAACUGAAACACGGUCCAGACUCCUACGGGAGGCAGCAGUGGGGAAUUUUGCGCAAUGGGGGAAACCCUGACGCAGCAACGCCGCGUGGAGGAUGAAGUCCUUCGGGACGUAAACUCCUUUCGAUCGGGACGAUUAUGACGGUACCGGAAGAAGAAGCCCCGGCUAACUUCGCGCCAGCGGCCGC
rnacentral:rRNA from 1 species